rnacentral:rRNA from 1 species
AUGGUGAAGACUUCGGAGCCGGACUGGAAGACCCAUGCGCCGGCGUCCCUCUCGAAGAAGGCGGCGAUGAUGAGGAACUGGAUGACGCCGAAGAAGCAGCCAGCCGGACCACGAGAGGCAGUGGCCGAUGAGGUAGACGCACCCCAGCGUCCAGUUCUUGCCCUCCCCGGCCACGGCCGCCAGAAACGGCACCUCCUGCUGCAACGACGGCUUGUCGUCGCCGGUAGGGGCGAAGAUGGUGGGGCCUUGGUAGAGCGUGAUGACGGACGCGCCUGCGACGCACGCGAGCGUGCCCAGCACCUUGGCGACGCCGUCGCGGCGGUCGAGGCGCACCUUCUCGAUGCGGAGCGCGGCGGCCAUGCCGAAGGUGAUGGCCGGAACGGAGUUCUGGAUGGCGGAGGCGAAGGUGGGGGAGGUGUUGUCGAGGCCGAGGAGGUAGAAGCCCUGGUUGGCGGUGAUGCCGCAGAGGGCGAGGAAGAAGAAGUGGACGGCGAGGCCGAGGGUGAGCCUGGGUCGGUCCUUCUUCUCGAGGAAGUAGGCGAAGGGGACGAGGAGGAAGAGCGCGAUGAUGUUGCGGUAGACGGGGAAGACGAGCUUGCUGAUCCCCAUGUUGAGCGCGAGGCGGGACACGACGUGGAAGCCGGCGUAGCCGAACUGCAGCGCCAGCAUCGCCACGUGGAGCUGCGCCUUCUCCGGCAUCCCGCAGACCCGGCGAGCAUCCACCGCGUCCGCCAUGGCUGCACCCUCUCCUCACUUGAUCUCUCCCUAGAUCGAGAUAGAAGCUGCUGCUGGAGCGAGGUGGCGAUGAGAGACUAG